rnacentral:rRNA from 1 species
AUUAAAUCAGUUAUAAUUUACUUGAUAGUGCCCAAUUACUUGGAUAACCGUGGUAAUUCUAGAGCUAAUACAUGCCUAAAAUCCCGACUUCGGAAGGGAUGUAUUUAUUAGAUUAAAAACCAAUGCCCUUUGGGCUUCUUGGUGAAUCAUAAUAACUUAACGAAUCGCAUGGCCUUGAGCCGGCGAUGGUUCAUUCAAAUUUCUGCCCUAUCAACUUUCGAUUGGUGAGUAGUGUUCACCAAUGGUGUCGACGGGUAACGAAGAAUWAGGGUUCGAUCUCGGAGAGGAAGCCUGAGAAACGGCUUACACAUCCAAGGAAGGCAGCAGGCGCGCAAAUUACCCAAUCUCAAUACGAGGAGGUAGUGACAAUAAAUACUGAUGCAGGGCUCUUUUGGGUUUUGCAAUUGGAAUGAGUACAAUCUAAWUCCCUUAACGAGGAACAAUUGGAGGGCAAGUCUGGUGCCAGCAGCCGCGGUAAUUCCAGCUCCAAUAGCGUAUAUUAAAGUUGUUGCAGUUAAAACGCUCGUAGUUUGAUUUUGGGCCUGGCUGACUGGUCCGCCUCACCGCGUGUACUGGAUUGGCCGGGCCUUUCUUUCUGGGGAACUAUAUGGCCUUCAUUGGCUGUAUAGGGAACCAGGACUUUUACUUUGAAAAAAUUAGAGUGUUCAAAGCAGGCCUUUGCUCGAAUACAUUAGCAUGGAAUAAUGAAAUAGGACGGCUCUCCUAUUUUGUUGGUUUUUAAGAGAGCCGUAAUGAUCAAUAGGGACAGUCGGGGGCACUUGUAUUCAGCUGUCAGAGGUGAAAUUCUUGGAUUUGCUGAAGACAAACUACUGCGAAAGCAUUUGCCAAGGAUGUUUUCAUUAAUCAGUGAACGAAAGUCAGGGGAUCGAAGACGAUCAGAUACCGUCGUAGGUGAGUAAAUAACAUACGCUUAGUGACUCUUUUUAUGUGAUUUAAUGCUAAUUUUUUACAGUCUUGACCAUAAACUAUGCCGACUAGGGAUCGGUGGAUGUUUCUUAUUUUGACUCCAUCGGCACCUUACGAGAAAUCAAAGUUUUUGGGUUCUGGGGGGAGUAUGGUCGCAAGGGUAAUUAUAUCUUUAUUU